ACCACACUGAUGCAGUUGGUAGUGCUGCUUUCUAUUAUUUAGGAGGUCACUGGUUCAAGGCCAGUGGGGGGCA